AGCGUAGCAAAAUUUGGUUUUGCCGAAGAUCUAAACUCUUCUCAUGGAAGUUCAAAUCUUCUCGUUA
rnacentral:tRNA from 1 species